GACGAACGCUGGCGGCGUGCUUAACACAUGCAAGUCGAACGGAAAGGCCUCACCUUGCUGGGGUACUCGAGUGGCGAAGGGGUGAGUAACCCGUGGGUGAUCUGCCUUGCACUCUGGGAUAAGCUUGGGAAACUGGGUCUAAUACCGGAUAUGUACUGCCUUUAGUGUGGGGGUUGGAAAGUUUUUUCGGUGCAAGAUGAGCUCGCGGCCUAUCCGCUUGUUGGGGGGGUAAUGGCCUACAAAGGCGUCGGCGGGUAGACGGCCUGAGAGAGUGUACGGCGACAGUGAGACUGAGAGACGGCCCAGACGCCGACGGGAGGCAGAAGUGGGGAAGAUUGCACAAGGGGCGGAAGCCGGAUGCAGAGACGCCGCGUGGGGGAUGACGGUCUUCGGGUUGGAAACGCCUUGCGAGAGGGACGAAGCUUUUUGUGACGGUACCUGUAUAAGAAGCACCGGCUAACUACGUG
rnacentral:rRNA from 1 species